GCACGUCAGAAAGCCUGCCUGUGACAAGAUGGCCGCCGGUGAUGCCGGAAGUGACUGCGCCAUAAGACAUCUAGCCUUUAUAUAUGAUGUCUAUGGGUUUAACCUUCUGGUCAAUCGUCAGCGAAUAAAACGGGCAGAAACACUGGAACUAUUAUCACAUGGACUCAAUACAGUAGAGGUGCUAGCUUGUCUAAGGAACAUGGGAGACUCCAGAGCUCAUUAUGAAGCCCUAAAGAAAGAGCUAGAUGAAGAUUCCGUCUCCCCCAGUUGAAGUGUACCUAUGAUAAAAAUUACAGACCUCUACAUGCUUUGUAAGUAGGAAAACCUGCAAAAUCGGCAGUAUAUCAAAUACUUGUUCUCCCCACUGUAUGUUUAUUUUACAGAUGCAGCAGCCAUUUUUAAAGUGGCAAAAGAAUGUCAACCUAAGGGCAAAAACAGGCUUUGGGCAGACUUUGACCUUCCAGGUGCAGCCUUCACACUCUGCCAUGACGAUGGGACACCAUGGCCAAGGAGGACUUUGAAAAAGAGCAAAUGACCCUAUCAGAAAUAAAGGAUGUCUGGAAGAAAACAUUCUUUGUUGGACAAAGAUCCAUGGCAGGACACAGUAACCUGGCUGAGGAACGGCCCGGGCCACCAGAAAAUUAUUCGAGUUCCCCAUCAGAGGAUUUCUUGGCAGACACACAACAACCAAAUUAUCCGGUUGAGGCAGCCAGACCAUUGUUCCACCUGCUGGUCCUCUCGGGGGAACAAUCUACUAUCGUGCUGCUGAAUGUGAGCUACACUACAAUCCUGCAACGUGGCAUUCCGAUGUGUGGUCUGUUGGUGCUACCUUUGUAGAGCUUUUUACAGGUUCUUGGCCUUGGAAUUUAAGACAAUCUCGUGAAGUUAAAGCACUGCUUUCUUCCCGGACUGAGCCCCAUGCUUUAGCCUUGCUUUCCCCAACAUGGAAAGACACUAUAACCCAAUGCCUUAUGUAUGAACCAGAACAACGACCCACAGCAAGGACCCAGGCCAAGGUUUUCUGAUCUGGGCUUGACCUCCAAACACUAGGUUGUUAAAUAAUUUUUGGGGGAGUAAUGGACUUCUCAGGACUGUGCAGGCCACUGAAGCCAUAGGCUAUUUAAAUAAUGUUCCUGAAACCAUUUUCUUAUUAUGCUGGAAAUGCAGAUAUUGUAUCCCUGGUUUUGGGAAUUUUUUUAUAUUGUUGUUCAUAUCUAAUGUUAAGAAAAAUAUUGUUUGUUUGUUGGGGGAUUUACUUCAAUACUUUCUAAUAUAUUAAUACCUAAUUCCUUUGAUAUCCUGGCUGGGCAGGAUACAUUUUUUUUUUAACAAGAUUGGCUUUGAAAUGUUUUCAAUAAUCAACAUCCACUCUUCUUUUUUUUUGUUACAUAUAUACUGUAUGUAUACUGUGCUGGAGUGUCCACCUUUGUUCUUUUUAUCACCUGCUCAUAAAGUUCACCUGGGCAUGCACCCUUUUACAAUGGUUACUCUAUUUAAGUGACUAUUUGGUUAGUGCAUGUUUAAAGCAAACAUCUUUAUCUAUUAUGGGUUACAGUAGAGCCGAACAAAGAGCUUUUUCUGAAAACCAGGAGCAGCAAAACAUGUCUGCCUGCUGUGUAAACAAUUCAAAAAUGUUAUGAGGAAUGUAGUUGUAAGGAAUACGAGCCACAGGCAUGUAUAGAUCCAUGCACAGAGCAUGAAAUGGUUUUAUUGUAGACGACAAGACAAAAAAAA
ensembl:lncRNA